UUCAUCUAAUCAGAAGUUGCAAAGCCAGACCCCACCUGGGCCCAAUUUAUGUCUGUAGCUAGGUCUAAAAUGACGGAAGUGGCUCUGAUGCGCUUGUUAGCCGCGGUAGCUGCUGAUAAUCAGGGUGCUAUCGGCUACCUGCGAAAAUAACGGAGGAAACUGGGAGUGUUUAGGGCCACCUGCUGACGACUUGAAAGCCACCUGUAACAGACGAAACACACCUGUGGGAUGAAGUCAGAGUAUGACCACUAGAUGGCGCCAAAUCACCUGAAUUUGGGAUGGAAGUCACUCAGUGCCCGUUAUCCUCUGACGUUAAUUUGAAGCAAGUCUGAUAAUAUGGCUGCGACUCUCCGGUCCCGGGUCCAUGAUCAGAUCUGGUUGGUCGGUUUCGUCCAGACUGUCCUGAAAUUGGAGGUUAACGUGUGGUCAGGUAAAAACUGAACACUGCAACCUCCAAUCAAGGCAGUGAAAAGUCAUCAAGACAGAACAUUUUGGAUUAAACGUCUUAAAAUCAUCCCUCUCGGCUCUUCCUCCUCUUCCACUCACAAGUAGUUUGUGGGUG